AACACGGACCUUUGGGACGUGUGCUUUUAUUAGGCUAAAACCAAGCGAUCGUAAGAUCGUAAUAAUGGUUGAACUCUAGAUAACUUGCAGAUCGCAUGGUCUCGUACCGGCGACAGAUCUUUCAAAUGUCUGCCCUAUCAACUUUUGAUGGUAGUAUCUAGGACUACCAUGGUUGCAACGGGUAACGGGGAAUCAGGGUUCGAUUCCGGAGAGGGAGCCUGAGAAACGGCUACCACAUCUAAGGAAGGCAGCAGGCGCGUAAAUUACCCACUCCCAGCCCGGGGAGGUAGUGACGAAAAAUAACAAUACAGGACUCAUAUAAGAGGCCCUGUAAUUGGAAUGAGUACACUUUAAAUCCUUUAACAAGGACCUAUUGGAGGGCAAGUCUGGUGCCAGCAGCCGCGGUAACUCCAGCUCCAAUAGCGUAUAUUAAAGUUGUUGCGGUUAAAACGUUCGUAGUUGAACUUGUGCUUCAUACGGGUAGUACAACUAUAAUUUUAGUUUGUACUUAACCUUAUGUAUGUAAGCGUAUUACCGGUGGAGUUCUUAUAUAUGUUAAAUACUUGCUAUUUUUCAUAUAUUCCUCCUAUUUAAACCUGCUUCAGUGCUCUUCAUCGAGUGUUGUUGUGGGCCGGUACAAUUACUUUGAACAAAUUAGAGUGCUUAAAGCAGGCUCCAAAUGCCUGAAUAUUUUGUGCAUGGAAUAAUGAAAUAAGACCUCUGUUCUACUUUCAUUGGUUUUUAGAUCAAGAGGUAAUGAUUAAUAGAAGCAGUUUGGGGGCAUUAGUAUUACGACGCGAGAGGUGAAAUUCUUGGACCGUCGUAAGACUAACUUAAGCGAAAGCAUUUGCCAAAGAUGUUUUCAUUAAUCAAGAACGAAAGUUAGAGGUUCGAAGGCGAUCAGAUACCGCCCUAGUUCUAACCAUAAACGAUGCCAGCUAGCAAUUGGGUGUAGCUACUAUCAUGGCUCUCUCAGUCGCUUCCCGGGAAACCAAAGCUUUUGGGCUCCGGGGGAAGUAUGGUUGCAAAGCUGAAACUUAAAGGAAUUGACGGAAGGGCACCACCAGGAGUGGAGCCUGCGGCUUAAUUUGACCCAACACGGGAAAACUUACCAGGUCCGAACAUAAGUGCGUAAGACAGAUUGAUAGCUCUUUCUCGAAUCUAUGGGUGGUGGUGCAUGGCCGUUCUUAGUUCGUGGAGUGAUUUGUCUGGUUAAUUCCGAUAACGAACGAGACUCAAAUAUAUUAAAUAGAUGCUUUCAGGAUUAUGGUGUUUGAAGCUUUCAUAUCCUUCAUUCACGAGCGCAGUAAAAUGUGUUAGUGUUUGAAUGCGUUUAUGGAGGUGGAGCCGUACCUGUUGGUUUGUCCCAUUAUAAGGACACUAGCUUCUUAAAUGGACAAAUUGCGUCUAGCAAUAAUGAGAUUGAGCAAUAACAGGUCUGUGAUGCCCUUAGAUGUCCUGGGCUGCACGCGCGCUACAAUGAAAGUAUCAACGUGUAUUUCCUAGACUGAGAGGUCCGGGUAAACCGCUGAACCACUUUCAUGCUUGGGAUUGUGAACUGAAACUGUUCACAUGAACUUGGAAUUCCUAGUAAGUGCGAGUCAUUAACUCGCAUUGAUUAAGUCCCUGCCCUUUGUACACACCGCCCGUCGCUACUACCGAUUGAAUUAUUUAGUGAGGUCUUCGGACGUGAUCACUGUAAAGCGCUUUGCGCGUUACGGAUGUUUCGCAAAAGUUGACCAAACUUGAUUAUUUAGAGGAAGUAAAAGUCGUAACAAGGUUUCCGUAGGUGAACCUGCGGAAG
rnacentral:rRNA from 1 species